rnacentral:rRNA from 1 species
AUUGAACGCUGGCGGCAGGCCUAACACAUGCAAGUCGAACGGUAACAGGAAGCAGCUUGCUGCUUUGCUGACGAGUGGCGGACGGGUGAGUAAUGUCUGGGAAACUGCCUGAUGGAGGGGGAUAACUACUGGAAACGGUAGCUAAUACCGCAUAACGUCGCAAGACCAAAGAGGGGGACCUUCGGGCCUCUUGCCAUCGGAUGUGCCCAGAUGGGAUUAGCUAGUAGGUGGGGUAACGGCUCACCUAGGCGACGAUCCCUAGCUGGUCUGAGAGGAUGACCAGCCACACUGGAACUGAGACACGGUCCAGACUCCUACGGGAGGCAGCAGUGGGGAAUAUUGCACAAUGGGCGCAAGCCUGAUGCAGCCAUGCCGCGUGUAUGAAGAAGGCCUUCGGGUUGUAAAGUACUUUCAGCGGGGAGGAAGGGAGUAAAGUUAAUACCUUUGCUCAUUGACGUUACCCGCAGAAGAAGCACCGGCUAACUCCGUGCCAGCAGCCGCGGUAAUACGGAGGGUGCAAGCGU